UACGGAGGGUGCAAGCGUUGUCCGGAUUUAUUGGGUUUAAAGGGUGCGUAGGCGGCUGAUUAAGUCUGGGGUGAAAGCCCGUUGCUCAACAACGGAACUGCCCUGGAAACUGGUUAGCUUGAGUACAGACGAGGGUGGCGGAAUGGAUACUGUAGCGGUGAAAUGCAUAGAUAGUAUCCAGAACCCCGAUGCGAAGGCAGCUGCCUAGACUGUAACUGACGCUGAGGCACGAAAGCGUGGGGAGCGAACAGG
rnacentral:rRNA from 1 species